rnacentral:rRNA from 1 species
GACGAACGCUGGCGGCGUGCUUAACACAUGCAAGUCGAACGGUAAGGCCCUUCGGGGUACACGAGUGGCGAACGGGUGAGUAACACGUGGGUGAUCUGCCCUGCACUUCGGGAUAAGCCUGGGAAACUGGGUCUAAUACCGGAUAGGACCCUGGGAUGCAUGUCCUGGGGUGGAAAGCUUUUGCGGUGUGGGAUGGGCCCGCGGACUAUCAGCUGGUUGGUGGGGUGAUGGCCUACCAAGGCGACGACGGGUAGCCGGCCUGAGAGGGGGACCGGCCACACUGGGACUGUGAUACGCCCCAGACUCCUAGGGGAGGCAGCAGUGGGGAAUAUUGCACAAUGGGCGCAAGCCGGAUGAGGCGACGCCGCGUGAGGGAUGACGGCCUUCGGGUUGUAAACCUCUUUCAGCACCGACGAAGCGCAAGUGACGGUAGGUGCAGAAGAAGGACCGGCCAACUACGUGCCAGCAGCCGCCGUAA